UACGUAGGCAGCAAGCGUUGUUCGGAAUUACUGGGCGUAAAGAGUGUGUAGGCGGUGCUCUAAGUUCGGUGUGAAAUCUCCUGCUCAACUGGGAGGGUGCGCCGGAAACUGGGGUGCUGGAGCGCGGGAGAGGGAUGCGGAAUUCCAGGUGUAGCGGUGAAAUGCGUAGAUAUCUGGAGGAACACCGGUGGCGAAGGCGGCAUCCUGGACCGAUAUUGACGCUGAGGAGCGAAAGCCAGGGGAGCAAACGGGG
rnacentral:rRNA from 1 species